rnacentral:misc_RNA from 1 species
GCGAAAUUAGCAAUCGCACUCGCAUCCCUCUCUCGUCGGAUCUCAUUCACGAUGUCCGGCGGCCCCCUUUCCAGAUCCUCCCUCUUCUCCGGCCUACUCUCCGGCCGCCAGCUGCAGCAGCCGGCGCUCCAUGUCCCACGCCGCGGUUACCAUAUCGAUCUCGGCGCUCGAGAGAAGGCGCUCUUGGAGGAGGAUUCAGCAUUGAAGAGGUUCAAAUCUUACAAGAACACCGUGAAGCGCGUUUCGAAAGUUGGGGACGCUCUUACGAUUCUCGUUGUGGCUGCAUGCAGCUAUGAGAUCUAUGCAGUAGCAGCGAGAAAAUCGGCAAACUGGUAGUGCGAUUGUACUCAUUUAGACCUUCAAUUGGUUCUGAUGUUAUGGUGGAAUAAUAGACAAUGAGUAAGAAAAUAAAGCACUUAAGCUUGUAA